GACGAACGCUGGCGGCGUGCUUAACACAUGCAAGUCGAACGGAAAGGCCCUGCUUUUGUGGGGUGCUCGAGUGGCGAACGGGUGAGUAACACGUGUGUAACCUGCCCUUGACUUUGGGAUAACUUCAGGAAACUGGGGCUAAUACCGGAUAGGAGCUCCUGCUGCAUGGUGGGGGUUGGAAAGUUUCGGCGGUUGGGGAUGGACUCGCGGCUUAUCAGCUUGUUGGUGGGGUAGUGGCUUACCAAGGCUUUGACGGGUAGCCGGCCUGAGAGGGUGACCGGCCACAUUGGGACUGAGAUACGGCCCAGACUCCUACGGGAGGCAGCAGUGGGGAAGAUUGCACAAUGGGCGGAAGCCUGUUGCAGCAACGCCGCGUGCGGGAUGACGGCCUUCGGGUUGUAAACCGCUUUCGACGGUGACGAAGAGUGAGUGACGGUAAUGGGUAAAGAAGCACCGGCUAACUACGUG
rnacentral:rRNA from 1 species